UACAGAGGUGGCAAGCGUUGUUCGGAAUUACUGGGCGUAAAGGGCUCGUAGGCGGCCAACUAAGUCAGACGUGAAAUCCCCAGGCUCAACUUGGGAACUGCGUCUGAUACUGGAUGGCUUGAAUUCGGGAGAGGGAUGCAGAAUUCCAGGUGUAGCGGUGAAAUGCGUAGAUAUCUGGAGGAAUACCGGUGGCGAAGGCGGCAUCCUGGACCGACAUUGACGCUGAUGAGCGAAAGCUAGGGGAGCAAACGGG
rnacentral:rRNA from 1 species